GUAGCUGGCAUCUUUGGAUGUAUGUGCUCAUCUUCUCUUCAAUCUUACCACCUGUGAACCUUUUGUAGUCUGUGGAUGUUAUUUCUCAGCUAGCAAUAGUUGGAUUGAGGAGUUGCCUUACAAGCUCUCCUUGGAUGUCCACAGUCUAUGUUUAUCCAUAUACUCUGUAUGUUUAGAAUGUAUAUCAUGGGUCUUUGACCUAUAAAAACUUAUACAACUUUCAACAACGGAUCUCUUGGCUCUCGCAUCGAUGAAGAACGCAGCGAAAUGCGAUAAGUAAUGUGAAUUGCAGAAUUCAGUGAAUCAUCGAAUCUUUGAACGCACCUUGCACUCUUUGGUAUUCCGAAGAGUAUGCUUGUUUGAGUAUCAUUAAAUUCUCAAACCACUACUUGGUUUUAUAUCAAGUCAGUGGCUUUGGAUGUGGAGGUUGCAGGCUUCUUGUAAAGUCUGCUCUUCUUAAAAGCAUUAGUGGUUAUUGAUUCCACUUCUUGGUGUGAUAAUAUCUACGCCUUGUAAGAACGGAUCUAAUGUAGCUGCUCUCAAACCGUCUUUAUUGACAAUUUGAACCAUUUGAUCUCAAAUCAAGUAGGACUACCCGCUGAACUUAAGCAUAUCAAUA
rnacentral:rRNA from 1 species